rnacentral:rRNA from 1 species
GGGGAAUAUUGCACAAUGGGCGAAAGCCUGAUGCAGCAACGCCGCGUGAGUGAUGAAGGCCUUCGGGUUGUAAAGCUCUGUCUUCUGGGACGAUAAUGACGGUACCAGAGGAGGAAGCCACGGCUAACUACGUGCCAGCAGCCGCGGUAAUACGUAGGUGGCAAGCGUUGUCCGGAUUUACUGGGCGUAAAGGAUGCGUAGGCGGAUACUUAAGUCAGAUGUGAAAAUCCCGGGCUUAACUUGGGAACUGCAUUUGAAACUGGGUAUCUAGAGUGCGGGAGAGNAAAGUGGAAUUCCUAGUGUAGCGGUGAAAUGCGUAGAGAUUAGGAAGAACACCAGUGGCGAAGGCGACUUUCUGGACCGUAACUGACGCUGAGGCAUGAAAGCGUGGGGAGCAAACA